rnacentral:rRNA from 1 species
GAACGCUGGCGGCAGGCCUUACACAUGCAAGUCGAACGGCAGCGCGGGGCAACCUGGCGGCGAGUGGCGAACGGGUGGGUAAUAUAUCGGAACGUACCCUAGAGUGGGGGAUAACGUAGCGAAAGUUACGCUAAUACCGCAUACGAUCUAAGGAUGAAAGUGGGGGAUCGCAAGACCUCAUGCUCCUGGAGCGGCCGAUAUCUGAUUAGCUAGUUGGUGGGGUAAAGGCCUACCAAGGCAUCGAUCAGUAGCUGGUCUGAGAGGACGACCAGCCACACUGGAACUGAGACACGGUCCAGACUCCUACGGGAGGCAGCAGUGGGGAAUUUUGGACAAUGGGCGAAAGCCUGAUCCAGCAAUGCCGCGUGAGUGAAGAAGGCCUUCGGGUUGUAAAGCUCUUUUGUCAGGGAAGAAACGGCCUGUUCUAAUACAGUGGGCUAAUGACGGUACCUGAAGAAUAAGCACCGGCUAACUACGUGCCAGCAGCCGCGGUAAUACGUAGGGUGCAAGCGUUAAUCGGAAUUACUGGGCGUAAAGCGUGCGCAGGCGGUUAUGUAAGACAGAUGUGAAAUGCCCGGGCUUAACCUGGGAACUGCAUUUGUGACUGCAUGGCUAGAAUCUGGCAGAGGGGGGUAGAAUUCCACGUGUAGCAGUGAAAUGCGUAGAGAUGUGGAGGAACACCGAUGGCGAAGGCAGCCCCCUGGGUCAAGAUUGACGCUCAUGCACGAAAGCGUGGGGA